UACAGAGGUCUCAAGCGUUGUUCGGAUUCAUUGGGCGUAAAGGGUGUGUAGGCGGCGCCGGUAAGUCGGGUGUGAAAUUCGAUGCUUAACUCCGAAACUGCAUUCGAUACUGCGGUGCUUGAGGACUGGAGAGGAGACUGGAAUUUAUGGUGUAGCAGUGAAAUGCGUAGAGAUCAUGAGGAAGACCAGUGGCGAAGGCGGGUCUCUGGACAGUUCCUGACACUGAGACGAAGGCCAGGGGAGCAAACGGG
rnacentral:rRNA from 1 species